rnacentral:rRNA from 1 species
CGUACGAGAAAUCCCGAGCUUGCUUGGGAGAGUAAAGUGGCGCACGGGUGAGUAACGCGUGGGUAACCCACCUUCGAAUUUGGGAUAACUCCGCGAAAGCGGUGCUAAUACCGGAUAAGACCACAGCCGUUUCGGCGGCAGAGGUAAAAGCUGACCUCUCCAUGGAAGUUAGCGUUCGAAGACGGGCCCGCGUCCUAUCAGCUUGUUGGUGGGGUAAAGGCCUACCAAGGCAGCGACGGGUAGCUGGUCUGAGAGGAUGAUCAGCCACACUGGAACUGGAACACGGUCCAGACUCCUACGGGAGGCAGCAGUGAGGAAUUUUGCGCAAUGGGGGAAACCCUGACGCAGCAACGCCGCGUGGGUGAAGAAGGCUUUCGGGUCGUAAAGCCCUGUCAGGUGGGAAGAAACUCUUCAGCACUAAUAAUGCUGAAGCCUGACGGUACCACCAGAGGAAGCACCGGCCAACUCCGUGCCAGCAGCCGCGGUAAUACGGAGGGUGCAAGCGUUGUUCGGAAUUAUUGGGCGUAAAGAGCGUGUAGGCGGCUUGGUAAGUCAGAUGUGAAAGCCCUGGGCUCAACCCAGGAAGUGCAUUUGAAACUACCAGACUUGAGUACGGGAGAGGAGGGGGGAAUUCCCGGUGUAGAGGUGAAAUUCGUAGAUAUCGGGAGGAAUACCGGUGGCGAAGGCGCCCCUCUGGACCGAUACUGACGCUGAGACGCGAAAGCGUGGGGAGCAAACAGGAUUAGAUACCCUGGUAGUCCACGCCGUAAACGAUGAGCACUAUGUGUAGCGGGUAUUGAC